UGACACUGUUGCGACGCUACACUGUUUGACUCUUUGUCUAGCCACAAAUAUAAAAACUAAAGUUUGGCCAUAUUAAGGGCAAUGAAGGAAGGUGACUAGUUUGGAAGUACUCCCAGACUGAAGAAAGAAAAAAAAAUAGCCCUCCACGGUUGGGAAACUGGACCAUCUCUAUGUGCUGCUUAGAGAUGCUGACCAGAAACUCAGAUCCAAAGAUUGAUGCAAGGAGUUUUUUCACAAUUGUCAAUCAAUCAUUGUUUCUAAGGGCCCCUACCAGGUCCUUCUGACUAUUCCCACAGCUGCCAAACUUGUGGGUAUGGACUCUUGGAUCGUCUGAAGAAAGCUGCUGCUCAUGAGUGGACACCAGAACCCUCUGAGGACCUCAAAGUUUGUCUAGUGUGGACCCAGAAGCAGCUGUCCCAAGAUUCAGAUGAGGGCUGAGUACACUGUCCUAGUUUUGUUGUUCCUCCUCCCUCUUGUUAUGUGCCCAACCACCAAGGCAAGAGUGUGUUGGCAUUUUCUCCCUCUACAUUCUUGGCCUCCACCUCUCUUUUCUACUUGCAAGCAAACAAUGGCUAGACAAGACCUAUUCAACUCAACAUCUCAUCUUGGCCCAGCUGGCUUCUCUUGGCCUUGACUUAUACCUGCCUCUCCUUUAUUGGCCAGAAGGGUAGGAGUUCUUUCAGACCCCCUCCCAUUGACCAAAAUGGGGAAAUGUCAAGAUAUUAGGAGAGACCCUAACAGUCCCGCUGAGCACCUGUGCCCUGAGCUUGGCAUGACAACAAUUCUUUGUGCUCACCCUCUGGAUGAACACUGGAUGAACUGAUGAUCUCUGAGCUCAGGCAAGCACCAACAGACCCAGACAUGAAGCCCUGCUAUGAAUGGAAGUUUUACCACUAGACAACCUUGCCUCAGUGUUACUGUUGUGCCUUGUCACUGUUGCUACACUACAUUUUUUGACUCUUUGUCUAGCCAUAAAUAUAUAAAUCAAGGUUUGACCCGCUAAGGCAGGUCCCCCCACGAGGGCGGAGUCCCAGUACAUGUGUUUAGAUCCCUCAUUGCUUUCAAUCCAUUUCCUUCACUUUGAAAUUAAACUUGUGUUU